rnacentral:rRNA from 1 species
UACGUAGGGGGCAAGCGUUGUCCGGAAUCAUUGGGCGUAAAGAGCGCGUAGGCGGUCCGGUAAGUCCGCUGUAAAAGUCAAAGGCUCAACCUUUGAAUGUCAGUGGAUACUGCCGGGCUAGAGUCCGGAAGAGGCGAGUGGAACUCCUGGUGUAGCGGUGGAAUGCGCAGAUAUCAGGAAGAACACCAACGGCGAAGGCAGCUCGCUGGGACGGUACUGACGCUGAGACGCGAAAGCGUGGGGAGCGAACAGG